rnacentral:rRNA from 1 species
AUUGAACGCUGGCGGCAGGCCUAACACAUGCAAGUCGAGCGGAUGAAGGGAGCUUGCUCCUGGAUUCCGCGGCGGACGGGUGAGUAAUGCCUAGGAAUCUGCCUGGUAGUGGGGGAUAACGUCCGGAAACGGGCGCUAAUACCGCAUACGUCCUGAGGGAGAAAGUGGGGGAUCUUCGGACCUCACGCUAUCAGAUGAGCCUAGGUCGGAUUAGCUAGUUGGUGGGGUAAAGGCCUACCAAGGCGGCGAUCCGUAACUGGUCUGAGAGGAUGAUCAGUCACACUGGAACUGAGACACGGUCCAGACUCCUACGGGAGGCAGCAGUGGGGAAUAUUGGACAAUGGGCGAAAGCCUGAUCCAGCCAUGCCGCGUGUGUGAAGAAGGUCUUCGGAUUGUAAAGCACUUUAAGUUGGGAGGAAGGGCAGUAAGUUAAUACCUUGCUGUUUUGACGUUACCAACAGAAUAAGCACCGGCUAACUUCGUG